AGGAGCCUCAGGCUUUGGAAUCUCCGGCAUCUUUGGUAACUCCGGCAUCUUUGGCAACUCAGGCUUUGGAAUCUCUGGCAUUUUUGGUAACUCUGGCUUCUGAAUCUCUGGCAAUUUAGGAGCCUCAGGCUUUUGAACCUCUGGAAUCUUUGGUAACUCAGGCUUAGGAACCUCCGGCAUCUUUGGUAGCUCAGGCUUCUGAAUCUCCGGCACCUUUGGCAGCUCAGGCUUUGCAAUCUCCGGCACCUUUGGUAGCUCCGGCUUCUGAAUCUCUGGCAUCUUUGGCAACUCAGGCUUAGGAACCUCCGGCACCUUUGGUAGCUCCGGUUUUUGAAUCUCCGGCACCUUUGGUAGCUCCGGCUUUGGAAUCUCUGGCACCUUUGGCAGCUCGGGCUUUGGGAUCUCCGGCACCUUUGGUAGCUCAUGCUUUGGAACCUCCGGCAACUUAGGAGCCUCAGGCUUCGGAGUCUCCAUCAACUUAGGCAUCUCAGGCUUAGGAACCUCUGGCAUCUUCGGCAAUUCGGGUUUUGGAAUCUCCGGGAACUUAGACAACUCAGGCUUGGGAAUCUCUGGCAUUUUUGGUAACUCAGGCUUUGGGAACUCAGGU
rnacentral:lncRNA from 1 species